GACGAACGCUGGCGGCGUGGAUUAGGCAUGCAAGUCGAACGGUAUCAUCCUUUCGGGGGUGAGAGAGUGGCGAACUGGUGAGUAACACGUAGGUUAUCUACCCUCAAGACGGGGACAACCCAGGGAAACUUGGGCUAAUACCGGAUGUGAGCAACUUUUAGUUGUUUGAAAGGUGGCGUAAGCUGUCGCUUGGGGAUGAGCCUGCGUCCUAUUAGUUAGUUGGUGAGGUAACGGCUCACCUAGGCAAUGAUAGGUAGGCGGCCUUAACGGGUGGUCGCCCACACUGGGAUUGAGAUACGGCCCAGACUCCUACGGGAGGCAGCAGUCGAGAAUAGUCUACAAUGGUCGGAAGACUGAUAGUGCGACGCCGCGUGAACGAUGAAUCCCUUCGGGGUGUAAAGUUCUUUUAUAUGUGAGCAGUGCUUCUUAUAUUAACAGUAUGGGGGGAGAGAUAUUAGCAUAUGAAUAAGCAACGGCUAACUCCGUGCCAGCAGCCGCGGU
rnacentral:rRNA from 1 species